GACGAACGCUGGCGGCGUGCUUAACACAUGCAAGUCGAACGGAAAGGCCCUGCUUUUGUGGGGUGCUCGAGUGGCGAACGGGUGAGUAACACGUGAGUAACCUGCCCUUGACUUUGGGAUAACUUCAGGAAACUGGGGCUAAUACCGGAUAGGCGCUCCUGCUGCAUGGUGGGGGUUGGAAAGUUUCGGCGGUUGGGGAUGGACUCGCGGCUUAUCAGCUUGUUGGUGGGGUAGUGGCUUACCAAGGCGUUGACGGGUAGCCGGCCUGAGAGGGUGACCGGCCACAUUGGGACUGAGAUACGGCCCAGACUCCUACGGGAGGCAGCAGUGGGGAAUAUUGCACAAUUGGCGGAAGCCUGAUGCAGCAACGCCGCGUGCGGGAUAACGGCCUUCGGGUUGUAAACCACUUUCGCCUGUGACGAAGCGUGAGUGACGGUAAUGGGUAAAGAAGCACCGGCUAACUACGUG
rnacentral:rRNA from 1 species